AUGACAAUAUUUGAAAAUAAAUUUGCAAUAGUGUGAUAAAAAGUCAUAAUUUAGAAAUUCUAAACCUCAAGUAAGUUUAGUGAUUUGUUCCAAAUCUGUUCGGUUCUUAAGA